AGCAGCCGCGGUAAUUCCAGCUCCAAUAGCGUAUAUUAAAGUUGUUGCAGUUAAAAAGCUCGUAGUUGAAUUUCGAGACCGGCUUACUGGUCGUGCUAUUGUACGUACUGGUAUAAUCGGUUUCUCCUUUCUGACGAAUUAUAAUGCCAUUAAUUUGGUGUUAUAGGGAAUCAGGACUGUUACUUUGAAAAAAUUAGAGUGUUUAAAGCAGGCUCACGCUUGAAUACAUUAGCAUGGAAUAACGGAAUAGGACGUUUGAUUCUAUUUUGUUGGUUUCUAGGAUCGACGUAAUGAUUAAUAGGGAUAGUUGGGGGCAUUAGUAUUCAAUUGUCAGAGGUGAAAUUCUUGGAUUUAUUGAAGACUAACUACUGCGAAAGCAUUUGCCAAGGAUGUUUUCAUUAAUCAAGAACGAAAGUUAGGGGAUCGAAGACGAUCAGAUACCGUCGUAGU
rnacentral:rRNA from 1 species